GAUGACGUCAUUCGCUACAAACUUGGACCUAGUCUUCAUCUCGUUCAGCGUCCCUUUUGGGCUUGGUUCAUCUGUUCUCCUAAUGGCAUCGGUAAAAUCUGUGUGCAUUUAUUUUGAUAAAUGGUUAUCUUUGGCAUAUGGUCUCCAAACUGGCUGUGUUGCACUUCUCCAAGCGGGUUUUUCAAGCCUUCUCGUUUUGCUACUAAAAGAAGUUAGAUUUGAACGAACAUUCCAAAUACUAUCAGCUGUAUUUCUUGUUAUCUGUCUGGCUGGUGGCUUGACAUUUUGCCCAACUUCAUAUGAAGUAGAUAAAGAUGAGCCUGAAAAGAAAACAACGAAUUUCCAAAUAUAUAUUAAUUUACUGAAGAACAAGAAGAUCUGCAUCUUCCUUGUGGCUAACUUCAUAGUGUCGUUCGCGUAUGGUGUGUCUAGCAUUCACCAGGUACAACUUGCUGUAGAGAAAGGUGUCCAAGUGAGCACAGCCAAGCUGUUUCCCGUUUUUAGUUCUAUUUCUUGUGGCUUAGGCCGCUUCUGCUGUGGGCUUUUACUUGACCUGAAAGUUCAGAAGAAAAUCGCAUUUUACCAGCUUGUGAUGUUUUUAACUGGUUCAACCUGCUUUCUGGGACUAUUUGCGACCACUGAAGGACACCUAAUCGCAUAUAUCUGGACAUACUCCGCUCUUGAUGGCAUGGUACAAACAUGCUGCACACCUUGCCUGCGGACUAUAACGGGUUUAAAGUUUCUAGGAGAAGCGUAUUCCAUUUUCUAGGAGGUACUGACUGUAGACGCCGUGUCUCUCUUGCUAGGGCCACCUCUUGUGGGGUUAGUGGUCGAGAAGACAAGAAGUUACAAUGCAUUCUUUUACAUGUCUGGGACACCAUACAUAGCUGCUUUUAUAGAGCUCUUCCUCCUUCGAUGUGUUGUACCACUGUCACAAGUUGAGACGAGCAGCGACAAGAGAGAGAAUGGAAACGAAGAGCAAUUAUCAUAAGGGCUUGAUCAAAUCAGAAGUCAAUUCUUCGUUAGAUAUUAAUGGAUAGAUAAGUGCAUACCUAAUUUUACGGUGUAGUGAUAACAAAUUCAUGCAGUGAUAAACAGAGAAAGCAUGUAAUGACAACGCUUUGGAGAAAUUUUAUUUACAAUGGGAAAAUUUUACGUACUUUUCACAAACUUCAAAACUUUUGGACUAAGAAAAAGAAAAUUGAAAGCCUGGACAUACCCAGAGCCAUUCAAUCUACUUGCUAAUUAUAAACUUAAUUUCGAGCGCGUAGCGAUACCCCAACUUUCAGUUGGAUUCUUCCAAACAAGAGUUUAUAUGAUUAAUCUAAUGUUUAUUUAUUAAGUGAAAGAAGUUGCAAAUAUGUUGAUGUUUUGAAUGACUUGUGAAAAGUGUUAUCACGGAUGCGAUGUGAAUAAAACCUACUUAUGAGUACUUAAUUUAGUAACUUUGUGGCAAAAUAGCGUUGUUUGUAUUUAAAGCUAUUAAGGGCGUGGUCAGAAGACAAUUUUUAGGGGCCACUACUGUUACCUUAAAAUUUAUUUUGUUUUAUUACGACCAUAAAAGAAUGAGAUGAGCCAGUAAGGAGUCAUUCACAAAGGACGUCUUGGAAAAAGAUGAAUUUUUAACUCCCUACCCUCUUUUGUCCGGCAUUGUCCGUAUUGAGAGCCCCCUCCCCCUUCCUCGGACAUCCACCGAUAUCAUACUGAAAGCUAUUCAAACAUGUAUAUGUAAAUGGAAUGUAAAAAGCCGUUCUUUGUUCCAACCAGAAACUGACUUGAUGAACAAUUUUUGAUUUUCUAGUACGUUUUUUGUAUGAUGUUAUAUUGAAAAAAGCAUUAGAUAUAAGCAGCAAAAGUCGUGUUUCACUCUUCGUUUAAGUAGUCAGUUUCUGUGAAUGGCUGCUUCAAAAAGGUGGCACUAUCCAUAAGAGGAGGUAACUGCUACUUCAUCUUCCUCGUUUGCUGCUUCACUCUGUGACGCUCUUCAUUCUUCAGUGCCAACCUUUUGUGGCCAGUUAUCUCGGGGUGCAAUUUUGCCAGCUCUACAGAGGUGAAAUUUACCGGCAUUUCACAAAACCCCCUUUAUCUGCUGCCACCUUUCUCUGAAUGCUUUUUUGCACAGAUGGACAGAACAAAUCAUACAGCAAGUCAACUUGCUCCUAGCCUUCUGGUUUCAGAUGUGAUAUUGCCAUUUGUUUGCAGAAGACCCGUGUUAAUUUUUUUUCCUUUGACAGGUUGUUCCCUAUACUAGCCAACUGCAGCCCACCUUGAAACCUGGACGUCCGGAUUGCGUAAACACCCUCUCCCCCUGUGUCCGAAUUUAUCCGGAUUCACCAAACCCCCCUUCUCCCCCUUCAGCUUGGACGUCCUUUGUGAAUGGCCCCUAAUUACUCUUGAUUUAAAAUCCAUUUUAAAAUUUUAUUUAAAAUCCAAUAAUACCUUUAUCUUGUUACGUUUUGUAUUUUGAUGGCUUGUGAAGCUGUCCUUUACCUUGGUACAAAAUUCUCUCUUUAUUCAUAUCCAUAUCCAGGGUAAAGUGUCCUUAAUGUAUUAAUACAUUUCCUUGUAAUUUGUUUACAUUAUAUAUAUAUUUGGUAAAACCGUAACUAGCAUUUCUCUAGCAAAGCAUUGAGUAAUUUUUAUUGUAAUUUUGAAUCAUUGGUUUUGUUUAUGUGUUAAGAGAUUUUCAUGAUUCAUAUUUUUGAUUGGUUUUUUCCCUGAAUUCCUUCUCUUGUCGAAAAAUUAAUUUUCAGCCCCCUAAAGUUUGUCUUCAACUGUCCAUGGGUCUUUGAAUUACUUUAAACCUAGUUCUUUGAAUGAACCUUUUUGUGAAGCUAAAUUUGUUACAUCUGAAAUCAUUUGAAAACCGAAUCUUCGAAUAAAAGAGCCCCAGGAGGGUUCAUUUAUAGUUUAUCCAUUGUAAUCAAAGGAAUUAUCCCGGAUUUAAGGAGAAAAAAUGUAAGUAGACACCAGUUUCAUUCAGAGACAGCCUUCUGUUUAAAAACAAUAAUGGUUUGCUUUAGUAAUUCUUUGAAAGCCGGUUUGUAACAUGUACUUGCGAUGAUAAAUUAACUGAAAUUCAAUAUGGGAAAAUUGUACUCUUAACCCGUUUACACUGUUCCUGGCAGAUUUAGAACUGUGACAAAACAGUCGCGGUUCGCCCUUCCGUUUACAAUCGCACGCUGGAACCGAGACGAUUUUGAUCUGCUAUCCGGAAUAGUUUUGACCAUGCACCGCACGAAUUUUCUACCGUCACCAUUCCGUUUUAGAACGGGAUA